rnacentral:rRNA from 1 species
GGUCAAGUGAAGAAGCGCAUACGGUGGAUGCCUUGGCAGUCAGAGGCGAUGAAAGACGUGGUAGCCUGCGAAAAGCUUCGGGGAGUCGGCAAACAGACUGUGAUCCGGAGAUAUCUGAAUGGGGGAACCCAGCCAUCAUAAGAUGGUUAUCUUGUACUGAAUACAUAGGUGCAAGAGGCGAACCAGGGGAACUGAAACAUCUAAGUACCCUGAGGAAAAGAAAUCAACCGAGAUUCCCUUAGUAGUGGCGAGCGAACGGGGACCAGCCCUUAAGUUGUAUUGAGAUUAGCGGAACGUUCUGGAAAGGACGGCCAUAGUGGGUGAUAGCCCUGUACGCGAAAAUCCCUUUGCAAUGAAAUCGAGUAGGACGGGGCACGAGAAACCUUGUCUGAAUAUGGGGGGACCAUCCUCCAAGGCUAAAUACUACUGACUGACCGAUAGUGAACCAGUACCGUGAGGGAAAGGCGAAAAGAACCGCGGAGAGCGGAGUGAAAUAGAUCCUGAAACCGUAUGCGUACAAGCAGUGGGAGCCCACUUUGUUGGGUGACUGCGUACCUUUUGUAUAAUGGGUCAGCGACUUAUUUUCAGUGGCGAGCUUAACCGAAUAGGGGAGGCGUAGCGAAAGCGAGUCUUAAUAGGGCGUCUAGUCGCUGGGAAUAGACCCGAAACCGGGCGAUCUAUCCAUGGGCAGGUUGAAGGUUGGGUAACACUAACUGGAGGACCGAACCGACUACCGUUGAAAAGUUAGCGGAUGACCUGUGGAUCGGAGUGAAAGGCUAAUCAAGCUCGGAGAUAGCUGGUUCUCCUCGAAAGCUAUUUAGGUAGCGCCUCAUGUAUCACUGUAGGGGGUAGAGCACUGUUUCGGCUAGGGGGUCAUCCCGACUUACCAAACCGAUGCAAACUCCGAAUACCUACAAGUGCCGAGCAUGGGAGACACACGGCGGGUGCUAACGUCCGUCGUGAAAAGGGAAACAACCCAGACCGUCAGCUAAGGUCCCAAAGUCAUGGUUAAGUGGGAAACGAUGUGGGAAGGCUUAGACAGCUAGGAGGUUGGCUUAGAAGCAGCCACCCUUUAAAGAAAGCGUAAUAGCUCACUAGUCGAGUCGGCCUGCGCGGAAGAUGUAACGGGGCUCAAACCAUGCACCGAAGCUACGGGUAUCAUCUUAGGAUGAUGCGGUAGAGGAGCGUUCUGUAAGCCUGUGAAGGUGAGUUGAGAAGCUUGCUGGAGGUAUCAGAAGUGCGAAUGCUGACAUGAGUAACGACAAUGGGUGUGAAAAACACCCACGCCGAAAGACCAAGGUUUCCUGCGCAACGUUAAUCGACGCAGGGUUAGUCGGUCCCUAAGGCGAGGCUGAAAAGCGUAGUCGAUGGAAAACAGGUUAAUAUUCCUGUACUUCUGGUUAUUGCGAUGGAGGGACGGAGAAGGCUAGGCCAGCCUGGCGUUGGUUGUCCAGGUUUAAGGUGGUAGGCUGAGAUCUUAGGUAAAUCCGGGAUCUUAAGGCCGAGAGCUGAUGACGAGUGUUCUUUUAGAACACGAAGUGGUUGAUGCCAUGCUUCCAAGAAAAGCUUCUAAGCUUCAGGUAACCAGGAACCGUACCCCAAACCGACACAGGUGGUUGGGUAGAGAAUACCAAGGCGCUUGAGAGAACUCGGGUGAAGGAACUAGGCAAAAUGGCACCGUAACUUCGGGAGAAGGUGCGCCGGUGGAGGUGAAGCAUUUACUGCGUAAGCCCCUGCCGGUCGAAGAUACCAGGCCGCUGCGACUGUUUAUUAAAAACACAGCACUCUGCAAACACGAAAGUGGACGUAUAGGGUGUGACGCCUGCCCGGUGCCGGAAGGUUAAUUGAUGGGGUUAGCGCAAGCGAAGCUCUUGAUCGAAGCCCCGGUAAACGGCGGCCGUAACUAUAACGGUCCUAAGGUAGCGAAAUUCCUUGUCGGGUAAGUUCCGACCUGCACGAAUGGCGUAACGAUGGCGGCGCUGUCUCCACCCGAGACUCAGUGAAAUUGAAAUCGCUGUGAAGAUGCAGUGUAUCCGCGGCUAGACGGAAAGACCCCGUGAACCUUUACUAUAGCUUUGCACUGGACUUUGAAUUUGCUUGUGUAGGAUAGGUGGGAGGCUUUGAAGCGUGGACGCCAGUCUGCGUGGAGCCAACCUUGAAAUACCACCCUGGCAACUUUGAGGUUCUAACUCAGGUCCGUUAUCCGGAUCGAGGACAGUGUAUGGUGGGUAGUUUGACUGGGGCGGUCUCCUCCUAAAGAGUAACGGAGGAGUACGAAGGUGCGCUCAGACCGGUCGGAAAUCGGUCGUAGAGUAUAAAGGCAAAAGCGCGCUUGACUGCGAGACAGACACGUCGAGCAGGUACGAAAGUAGGUCUUAGUGAUCCGGUGGUUCUGUAUGGAAGGGCCAUCGCUCAACGGAUAAAAGGUACUCCGGGGAUAACAGGCUGAUACCGCCCAAGAGUUCAUAUCGACGGCGGUGUUUGGCACCUCGAUGUCGGCUCAUCACAUCCUGGGGCUGAAGCCGGUCCCAAGGGUAUGGCUGUUCGCCAUUUAAAGUGGUACGCGAGCUGGGUUUAGAACGUCGUGAGACAGUUCGGUCCCUAUCUGCCGUGGACGUUUGAGAUUUGAGAGGGGCUGCUCCUAGUACGAGAGGACCGGAGUGGACGAACCUCUGGUGUUCCGGUUGUCACGCCAGUGGCAUUGCCGGGUAGCUAUGUUCGGAAAAGAUAACCGCUGAAAGCAUCUAAGCGGGAAACUUGCCUCAAGAUGAGAUCUCACUGGAACCUUGAGUUCCCUAAAGGGCCGUCGAAGACUACGACGUUGAUAGGUUGGGUGUGUAAGCGCUGUGAGGCGUUGAGCUAACCAAUACUAAUUGCCCGUGAGGCUUGACCAU